rnacentral:rRNA from 1 species
GUGAGUAACACGUGAGUAACCUGCCCCAGACUCUGGGAUAACCCCGGGAAACCGGAGCUAAUACCGGAUACGACACUAGCAGGCAUCUGCAGAGUGUGGAAAGUUUUUCGGUCUGGGAUGGACUCGCGGCCUAUCAGCUUGUUGGUGAGGUAGUGGCUCACCAAGGCGACGACGGGUAGCCGGCCUGAGAGGGCGACCGGCCACACUGGGACUGAGACACGGCCCAGACUCCUACGGGAGGCAGCAGUGGGGAAUAUUGCACAAUGGGCGAAAGCCUGAUGCAGCGACGCCGCGUGAGGGAUGACGGCCUUCGGGUUGUAAACCUCUUUCAGCAGGGAAGAAGCGCAAGUGACGGUACCUGCAGAAGAAGCACCGGCUAACUACGUGCCAGCAGCCGCGGUAAUACGUAGGGUGCGAGCGUUGUCCGGAAUUAUUGGGCGUAAAGAGCUUGUAGGUGGUUUGUCGCGUCUGCUGUGAAAAUCCGAGGCUCAACCUCGGACUUGCAGUGGGUACGGGCAGACUAGAGUGUGGUAGGGGAGACUGGAAUUCCUGGUGUAGCGGUGGAAUGCGCAGAUAUCAGGAGGAACACCGAUGGCGAAGGCAGGUCUCUGGGCCAUUACUGACACUGAGAAGCGAAAGCAUGGGGAGCGAACAGGAUUAGAUACCCUGGUAGUCCAUGCCGUAAACGUUGGGAACUAGGUGUGGGUCUCAUUCCACGAGAUCCGUGCCGCAGCUAACGCA